UUAAGUUCAGCGGGUAUCCCUACCUGAUCCGAGGUCAACCUUGAAAAAAGUUUCUCCCUGUGAGGGGAGGUAGACCGUUGCCCGUGAACCCUUGUGUCCGAUACAUGUCCCGCGAAGAACUCAGUGUACCGGGGGUCCAACGAGGCCGCCGUCAUUGUCUUUGGGAGGGGCAGAGACCCCGAGGGGUCUCCACCAAACCG
rnacentral:misc_RNA from 1 species